GAUGAACGCUGGCGGCGUGCCUAAUGCAUGCAAGUCGAGCGAACGGACGAGAAGCUCGCUUCUCUGAUGUUAGCGGCGGACGGGUGAGUAACACGUGGAUAACCUACCUAUAAGACUGGGAUAACUUCGGGAAACCGUAGCUAAUACCGGAUAAUAUUUUGAACCGCAUGGUUCAAAAGUGAAAGACGGUCUUGCUGUCACUUAUAGAUGGAUCCGCGCUGCAUUAGCUAGUUGGUAAGGUAACGGCUUACCAAGGCAACGAUGCAUAGCCGACCUGAGAGGGUGAUCGGCCACACUGGAACUGAGACACGGUCCAGACUCCUACGGGAGGCAGCAGUAGGGAAUCUUCCGCAAUGGGCGAAAGCCUGACGGAGCAACGCCGCGUGAGUGAUGAAGGUCUUCGGAUCGUAAAACUCUGUUAUUAGGGAAGAACAUAUGUGUAAGUAACUGUGCACAUCUUGACGGUACCUAAUCAGAAAGCCACGGCUAACUACGUG
rnacentral:rRNA from 1 species